ACCGGCGAGUUACGAUUUGUUGCAAGGUUAAGCGGAAAAAGCGGAGCCGUAGCGAAAGCGAGUCUGAAUAGGGCGCAUAAGUAACAGGUCGUAGACCCGAAACCAGGUGAUCUACCCAUGUCCAGGAUGAAGGUAAGGUAAUACUUACUGGAGGUCCGAACCCACGCACGUUGAAAAGUGCGGGGAUGAGGUGUGGGUAGCGGAGAAAUUCCAAUCGAACUUGGAGAUAGCUGGUUCUCUCCGAAAUAGCUUUAGGGCUAGCCUCGAGGUAAAGAGUCAUGGAGGUAGAGCACUGUUUGGACUAGGGGCCCUUCUCGGGUUACCGAAUUCAGAUAAACUCCGAAUGCCAUGUACUUAUACUCGGGAGUCAGACUGCGAGUGAUAAGAUCCGUAGUCGAAAGGGAAACAGCCCAGACCACCAGUUAAGGUCCCCAAAUAUAUGUUAAGUGGAAAAGGAUGUGGGGUUGCUUAGACAACCAGGAUGUUGGCUUAGAAGCAGCCACCAUUGAAAGAGUGCGUAAUAGCUCACUGGUCGAGUGACCCCGCGCCGAAAAUGUACCGGGGCUAAACAUAUUACCGAAACUGUGGAUGAACCUCUUUAGAGGUUCGUGGUAGGAGAGCGUUCUAAGGGCGGUGAAGUCAGACCGGAAGGACUGGUGGAGCGCUUAGAAGUGAGAAUGCCGGUAUGAGUAGCGAAAGAAGGGUGAGAAUCCCUUCCACCGAAUAUCUAAGGUUUCCUGAGGAAGGCUCGUCCGCUCAGGGUUAGUCGGGACCUAAGCCGAGGCCGAUAGGCGUAGGCGAUGGACAACAGGUAGAGAUUCCUGUACCAGUGCUAAUUGUUUAACCGAUGGGGUGACACAGAAGGAUAGGGAAUCGCACGAAUGGAAAUGUGCGUCCAAGCAGUGAGUGUGAGAAGUAGGCAAAUCCGCUUCUCGCGAAGCAUGAGCUGUGAUGGGGAAGGAAAUUAAGUACGGAAGUUCCUGAUUUCACGCUGUCAAGAAAAGCCUCUAGGAAGAGUAGUACUGCCCGUACCGCAAACCGACACAGGUAGAUGAGGAGAGAAUCCUAAGGUGAGCGAGAGAACUCUCGUUAAGGAACUCGGCAAAAUGACCCCGUAACUUCGGGAGAAGGGGUGCUCUAUUAGGGUGCAAGCCCGAGAGAGCCGCAGUGAAUAGGCCCAGGCGACUGUUUAGCAAAAACACAGGUCUCUGCAAAACCGUAAGGUGACGUAUAGGGGCUGACGCCUGCCCGGUGCUGGAAGGUUAAGAGGAGUGCUUAGCUUCGGCGAAGGUACGAAUUGAAGCCCCAGUAAACGGCGGCCGUAACUAUAACGGUCCUAAGGUAGCGAAAUUCCUUGUCGGGUAAGUUCCGACCCGCACGAAAGGCGCAACGAUCUGGGCACUGUCUCAACGAGAGACUCGGUGAAAUUAUAGUACCUGUGAAGAUGCAGGUUACCCGCGACAGGACGGAAAGACCCCGUGGAGCUUUACUGCAACCUGAUAUGGAAUGUUUGUACCGCUUGUACAGGAUAGGUAGGAGCCGAAGAGACGUGUGCGCUAGCAUACGAGGAGGCAAUGGUGGGAUACUACCCUGGCUGUAUGACCAUUCUAACCCGCCACGCUUAGCGCGUGGGGAGACAGUGUCAGGUGGGCAGUUUGACUGGGGCGGUCGCCUCCUAAAGAGUAACGGAGGCGCCCAAAGGUUCCCUCAGAAUGGAUGGAAAUCAUUCGCAGAGUGUAAAGGCACAAGGGAGCUUGACUGCGAGACUGACAAGUCGAGCAGGGACGAAAGUCGGGCUUAGUGAUCCGGUGGUUCCGCAUGGAAGGGCCAUCGCUCAACGGAUAAAAGCUACCCCGGGGAUAACAGGCUUAUCUCCCCCAAGAGUCCACAUCGACGGGGAGGUUUGGCACCUCGAUGUCGGCUCGUCGCAUCCUGGGGCUGUAGUCGGUCCCAAGGGUUGGGCUGUUCGCCCAUUAAAGCGGCACGCGAGCUGGGUUCAGAACGUCGUGAGACAGUUCGGUCCCUAUCCGUCGCGGGCGCAGGAAAUUUGAGAGGAGCUGUCCUUAGUACGAGAGGACCGGGAUGGACACACCGCUGGUGUACCAGUUGUUCCGCCAGGAGCAUCGCUGGGUAGCUAUGUGUGGCAGGGAUAAACGCUGAAAGCAUCUAAGCGUGAAGCCCCCCUCAAGAUGAGAUUUCCCAUUUCUUCGGAAAGUAAGAUCCCUGAAAGAUGAUCAGGUAGAUAGGUUUGGAGUGGAAGUGUAGCGAUACAUGGAGCGGACAAAUACUAAUCGAUCGAGGACUUAACCAA
rnacentral:rRNA from 1 species